UCGGGAAUUUUGGGCAAUGGGCGAAAGCCUGACCCAGCAACGCCGCGUGAGGGAUGAAGUAUUUCGGUAUGUAAACCUCGAAAGAAUGGGAAGAAUAAAUGACGGUACCAUUUAUAAGCUCCGGCUAACUACGUGCCAGCAGCCGCGGUAAUACGUAGGGAGCAAGCGCUGCUCGGAUUUACUGGGCGUAAAGGGCGCGUAGGCGGCGCGGUAAGUCACUUGUGAAAUCUCUGAGCUUAACUCAGAACGGCCAAGUGAUACUGCUGUGCUAGAGUGCGGAAGAGGCAACCGGAAUUCUUGGUGUAGCGGUGAAAUGCGUAGAUAUCAAGAGGAACACCUGAGGCGAAGGCGGGUUGCUGGGCCGACACUGACGCUGAUGCGCGAAAGCCAGGGGAGCAAACG
rnacentral:rRNA from 1 species